AUAUGUGAGGGUUUUCUAGCUGCAACAUCUGUCACCCCACUGAUCACCAGGACUGAUUAGGCUGAUCUUGUUGGAUAGGCAGGAGUCCCCUUCCUCUUUCCAUCCUCAAUUUGUGCCCCUUUCCCAAGCUAACACUAAGAGAAGAUGGCCUGCACCAGUAGAAAAGGAUCAGUCUGAGGGAAAC
rnacentral:snRNA from 1 species